rnacentral:rRNA from 1 species
CGGGGUGCAGCAGGCGCGAAAACUUUACCAUGCGGGAAACCGUGAUAAGGGGACACCGAGUGCCAGCAUCAUAUGCUGGCUGUCCAGGUGUGUAAAAUACACCUGUCAGCAAGGGCCGGGCAAGACCGGUGCCAGCCGCCGCGGUAACACCGGCGGCCCGAGUGGUGAUCGUGAUUAUUGGGUCUAAAGGGUCCGUAGCCGGUUUGGUCAGUCCUCCGGGAAAUCUGACGGCUCAACCGUUAGGCUUUCGGGGGAUACUGCCAGGCUUGGAACCGGGAGAGGUAAGAGGUACUACAGGGGUAGGAGUGAAAUCUUGUAAUCCCUGUGGGACCACCUGUGGCGAAGGCGUCUUACCAGAACGGGUUCGACGGUGAGGGACGAAAGCUGGGGGCACGAACCGGAUUAGAUACCCGGGUAGUCCCAGCCGUAAACGAUGCUCGCUAGGUGUCAGGCAUGGCGCGACCGUGUCUGGUGCCGCAGGGAAGCCGUGAAGCGAGCCACCUGGGAAGUACGGCCGCAAGGCUGAAACUUAAAGGAAUUGGCGGGGGAGCAC